CGAAAGCCUGACGGAGCAAUACCGCGUGAGGGAAGAAGGCUUUUGGGUUGUAAACCUCUUUUGUCAGGGAAGAAGAAUUGACGGUACCUGAAGAAAAAGCAUCGGCUAACUCCGUGCCAGCAGCCGCGGUAGUACGGAGGAUGCAAGCGUUAUCCGGAAUCAUUGGGCGUAAAGGGUCCGCAGGUGGCGAAUAAAGUCUGCUGUUAAAGACCGGGGCUUAACUCCGGAAAGGCAGUGGAAACUGAUUAGCUAGAGUACGGUAGGGGUAGAGGGAAUUCCCAGUGUAGCGGUGAAAUGCGUAGAUAUUGGGAAGAACACCGGUGGCGAAAGCGCUCUACUAGGCCGAAACUGACACUGAGGGACGAAAGCUAGGGUAGCGAAAGGGAUUAGAUACCCCUGUAGUCUUAGCGGUAAACGAUGGAUACUAGGUGUAGCUUGUAUCGACCCGAGCUGUGCCGAAGCUAACGCGAUAAGUAUCCCGCCUGGGGAGUACGCACGCAAGUGUGAAACUCAAAGGAAUUGACGGGGGCCCGCACAAGCGGUGGAGUAUGUGGUUUAAUUCGAUGCAACGCGAAGAACCUUACCAGGGCUUGACAUGUCGCGAAUCUAGCGGAAACGUUAGAGUGCCUUAGGGAAUGCGAACACAGGUGGUGCAUGGCUGUCGUCAGCUCGUGUCGUGAGAUGUUGGGUUAAGUCCCGCAACGAGCGCAACCCUCGUCCUUAGUUGCCAAUAUUAAGUUAGGCACUCUAGGGAGACUGCCGGGGACAACUCGGAGGAAGGUGGGGAUGACGUCAAGUCAGCAUGCCCCUUACGUCCUGGGCUACACACGUACUACAAUGGUUGGGACAAAGGGCAGCAAGCUCGCGAGGGUAAGCGAAUCUCAUCAAACCCAGCCACAGUUCAGAUUGCAGGCUGCAACUCGCCUGCAUGAAGUAGGAAUCGCUAGUAAUCGCAGGUCAGCAUACUGCGGUGAAUUCGUUCCCGGGCCUUGUACACACCGCCCGUCACACCAUGGAAGCUGGCUACGCCCGAAGUCGUUACCCUAACCCGGUUUUGGGAGGGGGAUGCCGAAGGUAGAGCUAGUGACUGGGGUGAAGUCGUAACAAGGUAGCCGUACCGGAAGGUGUGGCUGGAUCACCUCCUUU
rnacentral:rRNA from 1 species